rnacentral:tRNA from 1 species
GCACCAGUAGCUCAGCGCCAGAGCGCCGGCCUUGUAAGUCGGACGCCGGAGGUUAAACCCCUCCCUAGUGCU